GUCCAGGUGGCAGAGCCCGGCCAAUGCAGAAGGUCUAAGCCCUUCCCACAGGGGUUCAACUCCCCCCCUAGACU
rnacentral:tRNA from 1 species